UACAGAGGUCUCAAGCGUUGUUCGGAUUCAUUGGGCGUAAAGGGUGCGUAGGCGGCGCGGUAAGUCGGGUGUGAAAUCUCGGAGCUUAACUCCGAAACUGCAUUCGAUACUGCCGUGCUUGAGGACUGGAGAGGAGACUGGAAUUUACGGUGUAGCGGUGAAAUGCGUAGAUAUGACAUAGAACACCAAUUGCGAAGGCAGCUGGCUACACGAAUAUUGACACUGAUGCACGAAAGCGUGGGGAUCAAACAGG
rnacentral:rRNA from 1 species